GUGCUUUGCUAUUUUCAUUGACUUUAAGAUAUCAUGAUAUUGAAAAUUCAGUAAUGUAUAGCAAAGAUCCU
rnacentral:pre_miRNA from 1 species